CUGGCAGGAGCGACCGGUCACGCACUCUGUGCGUGAACUUGUGUUGUCUCUGGCCAUCCUUGGGGAGAUCCUGUUUGGCAUUAAGUUGUCGGGCAGGGGAUACCCAUCGUUUACUGUGAAAAAAUUAGAGUGUUUAAAGCAGGCUUAUGCCGUUGAAUAUAUUAGCAUGGAAUAAUAAGAUAGGACUUCGGAACUAUUUUGUUGGUUUGCGUUACGAAGUAAUGAUUAAUAGGGACAGUUGGGGGUAUUCGUAUUUCAUUGUCAGAGGUGAAAUUCUUGGAUUUCUGAAAGACGAACUACUGCGAAAGCAUUUACCAAGGAUGUUUUCAUUAAUCAAGAACGAAAGUUAGGGGAUCGAAGAUGAUUAGAUACCAUCGUAGUCUUAACCAUAAACUAUGCCGACUCAGGAUUGGCGGUUGUU
rnacentral:rRNA from 1 species